UCCCGUGUGGCUCAGUUGGUAGAGCAUGGUCUUUGCAACGCCAGGGUUGUGGGUUCGAUUCCCAUGAGGGAC
rnacentral:tRNA from 1 species